UGAGGAAUAUUGGUCAAUGGGCGCGAGCCUGAACCAGCCAAGUCGCGUGAGGGAUGACGGCCCUACGGGUUGUAAACCUCUUUUGUCGGGGAGCAAAUUCCGUUACGUGUAACGGAGUCGAGAGUACCUGAAGAAAAAGCAUCGGCUAACUCCGUGCC
rnacentral:rRNA from 1 species